rnacentral:rRNA from 1 species
UACGUAGGGUGCAAGCGUUGUCCGGAUUUAUUGGGUUUAAAGGGUGCGUAGGCGGCCGUUUAAGUCCGGGGUGAAAGCCCACUGCUCAACAGUGGAACUGCCCUGGAAACUGGAGAACUUGAGUACAGACGAGGGCGGCGGAAUGGAUGGUGUAGCGGUGAAAUGCAUAGAUACCAUCCAGAACCCCGAUUGCGAAGGCAGCUGCCUAGACUGUAACUGACGCUGAGGCACGAAAGCGUGGGGAGCGAACAGG